rnacentral:pre_miRNA from 1 species
CCUACACCCAUGUGUGUAGGACCCCAAAGGAUCACCAUUAAAUUUGACACAGAUCUCUAAAAACGUUAUCACAUGGGUAUGGGACUUGACUUUUCUAGAGAUCUGUGUCAAUUUUAAAUGGUGAUCAUUUGGGGUCCUACACACAUAGGUGUGGG